AUUGAACGCUGGCGGCAGGCCUAACACAUGCAAGUCGAACGAGUGGCGGACGGGUGAGUAAUGUCUGGGAAACUGCCUGAUGGAGGGGGAUAACAACUGGAAACGGUAGCUAAUACCGCAUACCCUCGGAGGUGCCCAGAUGGGAUUAGCUAGUGGGUGGGGUAAAGGCUCACCCAGGCGACGAUCCCUAGCUGGUCUGAGAGGAUGACCAGCCACACUGGAAUGGAAACACGGUCAGGACUCCUCCGGGAGGCAGCAGUGGGGAAUAUUGCACAAUGGGCGCAGGCCUGCUGCAGCCAUGCCGCGUGUAUGAAGAAGGCCUUCGGGUUGUAAAGUACUUUCAGCGGGGAGGCGUUACCCGAAGAAGAAGCACCGGCUAACUCCGUGCCAGCAGCCGCGGUAAUUC
rnacentral:rRNA from 1 species